rnacentral:tRNA from 1 species
UGUUCUGUGGCUAAGUUGAUUAAAGCCUCAGUCUAGCGAAUACGGAGUCGUGGGUUCAAAUCCCACCAAAACGC